UACGUAGGUGGCAAGCGUUAUCCGGAAUUACUGGGCGUAAAGCGCACGCAGGUGGUUUGCUAAGAUUGACGUGAAAGCGCCUGGCUUAACUGGGCGAGGUCGUUGAUGACUGGUAGACUUGAGGCGAGGAGAGGGGUGUAGAAUUCCCGGUGUAGUGGUGGAAUGCGUAGAUAUCGGGAGGAAUACCAGUGGCGAAAGCGGCACCCUGGCCUUGGCCUGACGCUCAGGUGCGAAAGCGUGGGGAGCGAACGGG
rnacentral:rRNA from 1 species